AAUGAACGCUGGCGGCAGGCUUAACACAUGCAAGUCGAGCGAGCGGCGGACGGGUGAGUAAUGUCUGGGAACCUGCCUGAUGGCGGGGGAUAACUACUGGAAACGGUAGCUAAUACCGCAUACCAUCAGAUGGGCCCAUAUGGGAUUAGCUAGUAGGUGGGGUAAUGGCCCACCUAGGCGACGAUCCCUAGCUGGUCUGACAGGAGGACCAGCCACACUGGAACGGAGACACGGUCCAGACUCCUAAGGGAGGCAGCAGUGGGGAAUAUUUCACAAUGGGGGCAAGCCUGAUGCAGCCAUGCCGCGGGUGUGAAGAAGGCCUUCGGGUUGUAAAGCACGUUCAGCGAGGAGGCGUUACUCGCAGAAGAAGCACCGGCUAACUCCGUGCCAGCAGCCGCGGUAAUAC
rnacentral:rRNA from 1 species